UCAAAUCAGUAGGUAGUAAAUCACAUACAACCACGCACGCACACAAAAAUGUAGCAGCACACCACACGGGAGAGCGAAGCACCAGCAGCAGGACAGGAUGAGGAGCAGAGGUGUAGAUGCGGGUGGGCACCUCGGCUAUUCACCCACUGCUUGAUCAGCUCAAGCUGGUGAAGCUGAUGGCUCAUCUCCUUCUUUAUUUAUUCCUCUCCAUCUCACCAAACCAAAACCAUUGCAGCGCAGAUGCUGAGCACACCACAAGGUAGCAUCCGGUCUCACACAAAAUUUAGAAGAAAAGCAGAGCAAUAAGAAGCAGACGAGCAUCUGACAGCACGCAGGAGGCUCGUCGUUGCCUCGCAAACGAAACAGCACGCCAAUGAUCCACAACACUAGCAAACACAGUGCUCAAACUUGAAGGAAGCAGCAGAGCAAUCCAAGCAUCCCUCC
rnacentral:lncRNA from 1 species